GCCCCCGUAGCUCAGUCGGAUAGAGCGAGGCACUCCUAACGCCUAGGCCAGAGGUUCGAUUCCUCUCGGGGGCACCA
rnacentral:tRNA from 3 species